rnacentral:sRNA from 1 species
GGCCCCCUGCGCUCCCGAGCCGUGGCCCGCGGGCGAAGAGCCAGUGCGCUGCGACGCGUGCCUCGAGGGCGCGGCCCUGCCCGCCGCGCUGUCCUGCCUCUCCUGCCUCGCCUCCUUUUGCCCCGCGCACCUGGGCCCGCACGAGCGCAGCCCCGCGCUCCGCGGACACCGCCUGGUGCCGCCGCUGCGCCGGCUAGAGGAGAGCCUGUGCCCGCGCCACCUACGGCCGCUCGAGCGCUACUGCCGCGCGGAGCGCGUGUGUCUGUGCGAGGCCUGCGCCGCCCAGGAGCACCGCGGCCACGAGCUGGUGCCGCUGGAGCAGGAGCGCGCGCUUCAGGAGGCUGAGCAGUCCAAAGUCCUGAGCGCCGUGGAGGACCGCAUGGACGAGCUGGGUGCUGGCAUUGCACAGUCCAGGCGCACAGUGGCCCUCAUCAAGGUCAAACACCCCUCCCUCAGCAUGGAACAAUCCACUCCAAACAAACCAUGCCGAUACCUACUGAGCACAAGUGUCCCCUGACCUGGCCCAGAUCCAGGACAGGCUCAGUCUGGUCCCUCUGUCCCCUCAAGAGGGCUGGUGGGAAGCCGGGGUCAGGGAAGGAGGGGGGUACAGUCCGGGACGGUUCUUUGCCCUCAUUGCCCCCUCUACUGUCGUCCUGUGCAGAGUGCAGCCGUAGCAGAGCGGGAGAGGGUGAGCCGGCUGUUUGCAGAUGCUGCGGCCAC